AUGGCCCCAGAGAUGGUUCGGGCUACACUUGUUAAAGACGUAGGCUAUGAUUCUGCUGUUGAUAUAUGGAGUCUUGGUUGCACCAUUAUCGAGAUGUUCAAUGGAAAACCUCCUUGGAGCGAUUAUGAACGGAUUGCUGCAGUGUUCAACGUUAUGAAUAAGGACCCACCACUUCCUGACAAUUUAUCACAUGAGGCAAAGGAUUUUCUGGAAUGCUGUUUCAAGAGGAAUCCAGCAGCGAGGCCGAGCGCAAGCGAGUUGUUGACCCAUCCAUUUAUCAGGGAUUCAAGUCAUUGCAGCAAGCAUGUUCAAGAAGUCAUUAUUGCAGGCUGUGAGGAAGUCAUUCGAGCAAGCUGUGACACAUCCUUGACAAGGAAAACUACAACUAGUGGAGCAAAUGAUGCUAGGCCUUCCGAAUCAUUAGCUUCACGAUUAACUUCACAACCAGUCCAGGUAGCCACACCUUAUUUCCCCCUAGAACUUUAG
rnacentral:rRNA from 1 species